GCUGGGUAUGGUGGUGCAUACCUGUGGUCCCAGCUACUCAGGAGGCUGAGGCAGGAGGAUCUCUUGAGCCCAGGAGUUCAAGGCUGCGGUGAGCUAUGAUUAUGCCACUGCACUCCAGCCUGAGCAACAUGGUGAGACCUUGUCUCCA
rnacentral:sRNA from 1 species